ACGACCCCGAUGAAAUUCGGGAUAUCACGGUCUUCGUUAAUGUUAAUAAGCGUCCGUCAGAUCAGUAGGCGAAACGCAAUAUCCGCACAAUAAGAUGUCUGCGACCCGAAAGAAUAUUCAAAAAUAUGGACGGCACUCCAGUACAGCAUGUGCAUGGUUGGACCUGUUGACAUUUUUAGAAACGCAUCUUGGUCUAUUAUACAGAGUAUUGUUGUACUGCUCCAAAGUGCUUGUUGACAGACUGAAACCACUUGCUUGCGGCUCAUAAGGUUCACUUCUUGAGAGCAGGCAGCUACAAAUGGAAGGUCAACAAAUCCAGUAUACUUAAAAAGCAAGAAAGAAACGCCAGAAAAUAUAAAAAGACAGAAGAACAAGGGAACUUUAAUAAAAAAACAAAACUUUUAAGGAUAGGAAUUCAGGAUUUACUUAGAAACUAGA